AACGAACGCUGGCGGCAGGCUUAACACAUGCAAGUCGAGCGCCCCGCAAGGGGAGCGGCAGACGGGUGAGUAACGCGUGGGAAUCUACCUUUUGCUACGGAAUAACGCAGGGAAACUUGUGCUAAUACCGUAUGUGUCCUUCGGGAGAAAGAUUUAUCGGCAAGAGAUGAGCCCGCGUUGGAUUAGCUAGUUGGUGGGGUAAAGGCCUACCAAGGCGACGAUCCAUAGCUGGUCUGAGAGGAUGAUCAGCCACAUUGGGACUGAGACACGGCCCAAACUCCUACGGGAGGCAGCAGUGGGGAAUAUUGGACAAUGGGCGCAAGCCUGAUCCAGCCAUGCCGCGUGAGUGAUGAAGGCCCUAGGGUUGUAAAGCUCUUUCACCGGAGAAGAUAAUGACGGUAUCCGGAGAAGAAGCCCCGGCUAACUUCGUGCCAGCCGCCGCGGAAA
rnacentral:rRNA from 2 species